rnacentral:rRNA from 2 species
AAAGAAACCAACCGGGAUUGCCUCAGUAACGGCGAGUGAAGCGGCAAGAGCUCAAAUUUGAAAUCUGGCCCCCUCGGGGUCCGAGUUGUAAUUUGCAGAGGAUGCUUCGGAUGCGGCCCCUGUCUAAGUGCCCUGGAACGGGCCGUCGGAGAGGGUGAGAAUCCCGUCUGGGAUGGGGUGUCCGUGUCCGUGUGAAGCUCCUUCGACGAGUCGAGUUGUUUGGGAAUGCAGCUCUAAAUGGGUGGUAAAUUUCAUCUAAAGCUAAAUACUGGCCGGAGACCGAUAGCGCACAAGUAGAGUGAUCGAAAGAUGAAAAGCACUUUGAAAAGAGAGUUAAACAGCACGUGAAAUUGUUGAAAGGGAAGCGCAUGCGACCAGACUCGCUCGCGGGGUUCAGCCGGCAUUCGUGCCGGUGUACUUCCCCGCGGGCGGGCCAGCGUCGGUUUGGGCGGCCGGUCAAAGGCCCCCGGAAUGUAUCACCUCUCGGGGUGUCUUAUAGCCGGGGGUGCAAUGCGGCCAGCCUGGACCGAGGAACGCGCUUCGGCACGGACGCUGGCAUAAUGGUCGUAAGCGAC